rnacentral:rRNA from 1 species
GCAUGAAGUCGGAAUUGCUAGUAAUCGCGGAUCAGCAUGCCGCGGUGAAUACGUUCCCGGGCCUUGUACACACCGCCCGUCACACCAUGGGAGCCGGUAAUGCCCGAAGUCAGUAGUCCAACCUCGUGAGGACGCUGCCGAAGGUAGGAUUGGCGACUGGGGUGAAGUCGUAACAAGGUAGC